CUUGUGAUUUCUCUUAAUAAGUUCAUAAGGGGCAUUUUUGAGGAAGUCUUAAUCAAUCGUAGGCCUAAACCCUCUCUUAAUGGGGCUGUAUUUUUCUAACAAGGAAGUAAGAAAAAGAGGUAUUGGGGCAUAAGCUGUAUCUCGAGCUGCCCUUUCACUCUCCCCUGACUGCUGCAAAGCCCCUCAGUCAGUCAUUGUAAUCCAGAUCUGGAACUGGGAGUGUGUUUUGGGGAUAUAUCUUGUUGCUUUGUGAUGAAGGCCCUGAGAGAAUCUCUUGGUGUUGACAGCCCCUGACAGUAAAUGUCACAUGAAUUCGGAGGGAGCUUAGGGACUUCUGGUGACUGCUAUGAGAAGAGACAUGGUGACAGAAAACCUGAUUGAUGAGCUAUGCCACAAGUAGAGGGAGCACUGAGUGGUGAUUGCCUAUAAUUGAAUGGUCUGUGGAAGUUAUUUCUGGGGUUCCUAUGAGUGGUGACAUGCACUCCAGAAGUGUUUGCACAGGGGAGGACUGCAGAUUUUAACCCUGGUACUCAGCAACUCCUUGUUAAUGCAGCAUUAACAGACUUUAAAACUGUAAUGGGCUGCUUUAGCUUCAUGGCCAGCAUAGUAAUGAGCCAGUCGACAAUCAGAGAUGGUCACUCAAGCAAUUACCUUUAGAAAUGUUCCUUUGCCUCCUCUUUUUAGUGCUUUCUCCUCAUGGCUCAGCUCUGUGAUCUGACAACAUGGAGACGUUGAUUAUCAAGGUUCUUCCUGACUCUGACAGUGCACUCCUCUGACAUGGGCUUGUUGCAGCCAUGUUAAACUGAUGCUCCUGGCAUUAAAUGGGAAUGGGAGAUGUAGUAGCCCACUUACCCAGCAAAACAUCUGCUCACACUGACCAAUUAAAUUGGCUUCUCUCUCAUUAAAACCCUUGUGCAGACUCUGACAUCUCCUCUGGGCCACAUUCAAAGACCUGAGCUGACUCCAACUGCUGAAUCCGUAGGGAGGUUUUCAACACAGCCUGAAGCGCUCGGACAUUGGAGCCAGGCAAGAAGGAAGAGGGGGAGAAAUUCAAGCCCUCCCCACUUCCCUUUGGUAAAUCAGGAGCACAUCCCUUACAGAUUUACUUGGUUGUGCCAAUUUAAUGUGAUUUCUUCUGAGGGCCAGGAACCACUCAAGGGAGGCUGACAGGUUUUAUCAACAGAAUGGAAACUGAAGUGAUAAGGUGAGAGUUACUGACCUGAUAACUAACAAACAGAAAACUUCGGUGUCCCUCAAGCUAAAUAUUGCACUCAGCAGGUAAGUAAAAGAUGGCAACAGCUGUGGUCUUGUCACUGAGUGGGAGUGUGGUUUAGUGUAGAGGAGCAGGAGGUGAACUGUGACAACAAACACAUUCAGUUUGCUACAGACUAUUUCCCUCUAUUACUUUUAAUGAGAGCUAAACUCCAAAAUGCACAAUGGGACAAUAAUAUUUUAGAUAGAAGGAACUCUUCAUACAGCUCCUAAAUUCUAGACACCCGGUUGCAAUUAAAAUCAUUGCUUGUGUAUUAUUAAUAGCUCACCAGUAGUUUAAGGCUGUUAUCAGGUAUGGGACCAAUUGGUGCUGGCCGCUGCACAGCUGAAUGAAGAGUAGUGCUGGCCUUGAAGGAGCUGAGUUAACAACCUGAACCCACAGUGCUCAGAGGAGUUUGAAAAAUGAGAGGAACGUGGACAGGAGCUGUGUUGAAUGCAGCAGUGUGGAAGCUGGCAAAGCAACAUGGCUGGGUUGCUGUAGUCAGAUGUUAGUGAAUGCUGCCUAAGUGGGGUUUCAUUUAGUUAAAUUCUGAAAUUGCAGUGUGUGAAGGGCAGAUUGGAAAGGAAGCAGAGACCUCUAAUAAAUGCUGAUUUACAAGUAAUGGGCACAAAAAGUACUGCAAGUAUGGCAGUCUGUUGUUCUUGCUUUUUCCCCUUAUAUUUUUUCUUUUCCUGAGAACAUGCCGGGGGUUGUGUAUGAAACGUAGUCGUCGUAAGUCUCACACAUCCCUUGAAAUUCCUGUCUGACAGAAUAUGAAGGCUGUAGCAGCUGAACAAAAAGGCACGCGACAGAGCUCUUGUAUGAUGUCCGUCUCCCCUUUCUGGCACCUGGCCUGCUCAGUACAAUUGGGAAAGACAAAUGGCAAGUGAUUGCUUCCUAUUCAACUUCUGCAAGCUAAUUUUGUUUUUCACAUGGCAGCAGUUUUGUACUCACCACGUUUGUCAUUCUGCCAUGUAUUUUUUCUUCUCCCUGUUGCAGUUCCUCUCCUGUUACAGUUCCUUUCCUUUAUAAGGUAAGGGCACCAGAACUACAUUUGGUAUUUGAGAAGCAGACGCACCAUGAAUUCAUAGAGUGGCAAAGUCAUACUUUUCUCUCCUAAGAAUUCUGAACUUUUGCUUUUCUUUUCCUGCCUGCUGUUGAGCACCGAGGUGAUAUAUUCAUAGAACUAGCUAUUAGAAUGUCAGGAUGCAUUUUCUAAAUUGUGCAAACCAGUUCAGAGCCCAUCAUUCUGUGUGUAAAGUGAGUGUUGCUUUUUGUGGAUAGGUAGAUUAUAGCUGUCAGGGCUGAAAUUUAUCUCCCACUUUAUCAUGAGGCUUACUCAAUGUCAUGAGAUCUUUAAGGUUUGGUAGUAAAUACUAUCCUAAUUAAUUGAUGUUUUCUCAGAAAUCUUCACUGUUCCACCUUCUUUCCGGGUCAUUUGUGAACACAGUGAACACCAUGGACCUUAAUCCCCAUGGGAUUCCACUGAUGAUCAUCCUCUAAUGUGAAAACUCAUCCUACAGUCUAAUAUUUUUUCCCCUCAGUAUUAUUUAACUCUGUGAGGGUCUUACCUGUAGUCCCUGGGUUUUUAGUUUAUUUAAAAGCCUUUGAUGAGACCUUCAGUGCCUGAAGUUUCUGGAAGCUUGAUGUGAGCUGGAAAUGCAAAGGGAAAUUUCUCAGCUGGAUCUCUGUUAUUUACAUGCUUUUGACUCCUUCAGAGAAUUCCAGCAGAUUUAGGAGGCUCAGAUUCCUUUCACAAAAGUCAUAUUUACUUUUCCUUAAUGUGUUACUUUUAUUCAUGUAUUCAAUCAUUCUGUUCUUUACUAGAGCUUCAGCCAAUAUGACCAAUAUGGACAUGAGACUUAGUGGUCUGUGGGUUCUUGAAUCACCACUGGAUUUCUUUUUAAAAACUGAUUUGUUAUUAGUUUCCUUCCAGCCCUUUGAUAAUCGCAGCAAUUUUCAGCAAAAGGUUACAUACUAAGGGGAUUAGCUCAGAUGAUUCAUAUUUAACAUUCCGUAAAGAUCGUGCAUGAAUCUCAGGCACUGAUAUGUUGUUACUCAGUUUGUCUGGUUGUAAUCUACUCUUAACAAUCUUAAAUUAAGACAAGCCUGUUGUGAAUGUCUUAUAAACAGGGUCCUGGCCUCAGAGUUUCUCUGAGGUUCUCCAGGUGAAGAGAGAUGUAAAAAGAAGAGUUUGUAAUCUUUUGCGAUGGCAUUAUCUUUUCUGAGUGCUUCUCUCAUACAUGGCUCUUGCAAGCUUCAUGCUCUUGAUGUGUUCCAAGAAGGAUUUCUUGCCUUUUUUUUUAUUUCUUUAGCAAAUAGCUUCUAAAUUCUUUCUUCAGUCUAUGUUAUUGUGCUUUUACAUUUAGUCUGCCAGGAUUUAUGUUCUUUUUAGUUUUCCUUUUUCAGACACCACUUCAGCUUUUUGCAGUGUACGUUUUAACUUCCAGCAGCCUCCCUGAUCCUGCUGUUUUAUGCUUUUUGUUUUUCUCUCAAGUCUUUUUUGACAGGUUAUAUGCAUUUGCUUUGAGCCUCCAAUAUAGGAUCCUAAAACAGUCUACCUGCCAUCUAAAAACGUUUUACCUUUCUGGCUGCCACUCUUAGUGUUUUGGUUUUUUUUAACAGAUUUCCCCAUUUUUGAAUUCCCAUUCUCUGGAAUCAAGCACAACCACUGCAUUUGCCAACAUUUCUUCAUUUCAGAAUAUGUCGUCAUGAAUCAGAUAAAAGGAUUAAGGGUUUGAGCCUAGCCCAGUCUCUAGGAAGCCUGGAGAUAUUUGUCAUUAACUUUUCACUGAUGUUAAUGUCACUAAUUUCAUUAACUGAGAAACAGGGAAGGAAAUGGCUUUGCCAGGGCUGGAGGUGGUGGGAUUUUCUGCCCUGGAACAUCAGCUGCUUUCUCCAACCUACAACAGAGAAAAUGAUGGGUAACUGGAAAAUAAAGCAGCCUGGGCUGGUCUGUGCCACUGCAGUUUGAUGCUAACUAGGUGGGAUGGUUUGGGCAGAGCCCAUCUACACUGUGCUGGUCGGAACCAGAGUGCAAAAGUAGAGUCACAGUGAUAGUGUCCAGUUCCCACAUUAACAGAUGCAGGAUCGAUCCAGUGUACCAAGAAAUCCAGCAGGACAGUGUGUGGAUGCAAGUAUCUCUUCCUGUGAUAAUGCCAGAGAAUCAAGAGCUUAGACUACUUCAUUAUUUCAGUCUGCAUGUAACAAAAUCUUGGAUAAGGUCUGACCAAAAAAGGACUAAGACCACAGUUAGUAGAGCCUGCUUUGGUAGCUGAAAGUACCUGUAAAGCCAGAGUGAACCAAAUGAUGCUGGCUACAGUGCAACUGCUGCCUAGCAUUGACUGCUUAGCAACAGGGAGAGUGAUAUGGAUGCAGAUGAAUUGAGUGUUUUCUGAGCAAGCUGGGUAGGAACAGAAGUAAUUAGCUGCUAGCUGAUGAAAAGGCAUGCUUAAUUAUUAGUAUAAUUAUAGAUAUAAUAGACCAGGAAUUAUUCAGUAAAAGUACGAAAGCCAAUAUGUUACAAAGAAGGUAAUCAGAAUGGGAGAGAAAAUGACAGCGGUGUGAAUUCUGGAGAAGAAACGUAAUGGAUUAAGGUGAUAAAUCUGGAAUCUUUUGGGUUUCCACUUUCUGACAGAACCGAGUUUAACAAUGGUGUAGGGGUCUACAGAGCUAACAAGGUGUGUGGCUUGUAUUAUUUCUGGUUUUAUAUAAUGUUGAUUUAUCUGGUCGUAUGCCAGUGAAAUUGAGCUAUAUUUUCAUAAAUCUCCAAACCUGCAGAGAUUCACAAAGAUCUUUGUUCUCCCUCCAGCAAUACUGGAAGCACAACCAUUUAAUUUGAUGGAUCCUGUCAGAAGCUCAGCUAUAGCUGGUUCUGCUCAAUAUUGGUAAUUGAUUAUAAUUAUUUGAAAAGGCAGCAUUGCUUUCCCUUGGCACCCUGAGAAGUAGUUGUGACUAAGCAGACAUGCUAGCCAGCUGCCCUGCCUGGCCAAUGCAUCUUAAACUGUUUUCAGUGCCUGCUGGGGAGAUGGCUGGAGAUAACAGGCUGAACUGUACCAACAGAGAUGUUAGCAAGAUGAUGGAUAAUCACUGAAAUGAAUAAUCUGGGGAAGGUUUUAAGUACAUCUCUUCCAAUGUCAGAACAAACGUAAGUAGUUCUGGUCCUGCUUUUGUGCCAGGGCUUCGAGUGAGUGCUAACAGUAGCAGCAGUGAUCUGACAUCUUCUAUAUGCAUCUGGAAUGGAGAGGUCCAAGAGAUAUACAAUUUUGUCUAAAACUGUAGUGGUUUCUAUGGCAGUGGAAUGGUUGACUCUGGCACCAACAGCUCUAAUCUAGACUCUUGAGUCUGAGAGUGGUGGUGCCAAAUGAUUACAAACCCUUUUGCCCACUGCACUGGUUGGAAAAGAAAAUCAAGAUACAAAGAUUUUACUGAAUUACUGUUUGAGGACUAAUUAUUAAAAUGGUUUUUGAUUAAUGAGUUGUGAGUGAAGCUGGUUUGGCAAAUAGCAUUUUGAUAAGGUAUUUGCAAGACAGAUAGUCUUAAGAUGGUGCGAUGAACGUAAAACACUCUAACCUUAAUGAUGAUGUUAAUGCAAAAAUGAUGUAAAUGUGCAUGAGCAAUUACUGCAUGAAGUCACUGGGGUACAUCAGGACAAAUUGAGUACAGACAAACUCUAAUCAGCACAGAAUCAUUGCAGAGUGAACCUGAUAGCAACCUCAGGUAAUCAGUUGUUCCAUUUCUUUCUUCCAUAACAGAAUCAGAUCUUGCUCAUGACAUUCAUGGCUUCUUUCUCUUCCAUUUUUGUUGCAGACUUUUAUCUGCUCCAAGACUGUUACUGCACCUGACUCUGUCAGGCCUGCUAUUGCAUCUCUCUGUGGUCUUCUCUUUUGAGCAUCUCCUAAGUCUCUUGAUUCAGGACAUGUUUUCCAGACCUCUAACUGUUACUGGUUUUCUUGCUGCUUGGCCUGUCACCCUUUCUUGAGGAGCGGUACCAAAGACCGGAUGUUGCUCUGCACUGAGGCGUUACUGAGUACAGCAAAAGGACAGGCAAGAUGUCUUACAGUGAACCAUUGGAAAACUACUCUCAGAGUGUGGAUUCCAGCCCGAUCUGUGUCAUGACUUCAGCCAGGGCAUUCUUGCACUCAUCAAUGUCGUGUGGGCCUCAGUGACAUUGAGAUUAGAAGCUCUGGCCUCAGCCUGCUCUGGGUAUGUGCUGUGAGAGCCAGGUGGGCAAUGAAGACAGUAGCUGAAGCAAUUACUGAAGCAUUAGUGACUACCCUGGAAGCUCUCAGAAGGCAGCAGGAUAGAGCCAGCAGUGCUGUGGUUGAGGGGAAGCAAAGGACACAGCCGAGGACUGGAGGCAGCAGCCACAUCCUGGAGCAGUUUGUGGCUGUGAUUGUGCCAGGGCUGCUGUGCCUCUGGAGCUGGAGGAAGAGUACAGAGAUGAUGCUGUUUUGCUGCACUAAAACAUCAGAAGUCCCUGGCGAGGAGCACAGACCUGAUGCUAUGGGGACAAAAGGAGGAUGCAUGCAUGGGAGAAGGUGUCAGGUGAGUGCUGAGUGAUCAAAGCUAAGCCCCAAAGAGGCUUUGGCAUCUGUACCCCAUUCUUGGUGGGUUAGUUGUGCCCAGAAGGUCCAGGCAGGGGGCCUGGAGGGGAUCCCUUGCUGCUAGCCAGAGGCAUGGUGAUCCCAGGUGAUCCUGCAGGGUCCCCCAUGACUGAGGUGAUGGCAGGGGGCUGUUUUCAGGGCUCUGCUGUGAAAGCAGAGAGCUGCACUACAGAGGCAGAGCUGGACUGUGCUGUCCCCAUAGAAUAGGCUGAUGUAGGUCAAACAACUAGGAG